ensembl:ncRNA lncRNA:CR44050 long non-coding RNA:CR44050
AGGCAACGUUUAAUUCGAUUUACCAUUAAAAUAUGUUCUUCUUAAUAUUUUAUAAUGUCAGUGCCGCGGAAUUCAGCCAACGCUUUUCCAUUAUCGCUUAAUGCAACACAAUUACUUUUAAUUAUUUUAUUAUGUAAACAUUUCGGUAGACCAGUCCGCAGCGGACACCCGUGGAAACCAAUUUAAUUGAUAUAAACAUUGUAGUUUAAUUGCCUUAAACGCCAAAUGAACCGGUUGACUUUAUUACCAAACAGUUUGACGUGUUGGUUUUUUUUUUCCUUGUGUUACACGUUGGUGUUUUUUAAUUAAAAUUCAAUCAGAAUGAACCGUACUAACAUGAUUUGCAAUGGAGCGUAAUUCUGAAAGAACUGAAAUGCAGAUUGUGGUUUGUAGCGGGUUGAUUAAAUCGUGUCAUGUUUUGCGGUUGGAAUAGGUACAUUAAAUUGCUAGUAAAUUUGCAUUCCCAUAGCUUGUCUUUAUCCGAUUCGUGAUCAGGACAAAGGACAAAGGCUAGGUGACCCAGCUCUGCUCAGAGGACUAACUAGCUCACCACACAUCCUUUUGGUAAAGCCGCAUGCAUUAGGCCGAAUCGUGCGUCAUUUUGAGCAUUAAAAUUAAUCCAUGGACACGCAAGGAUAAUCGCUCGGAUGACACGCUUUUUUAUGGCUACCUGGCGCCUCUGAGCCAGGAUUUUGAGAUGCGAACGCGUGACUAAGAGGACCACGAGAACGAGUACAGGUUACGUAUACGCCACCGUAGCCGCGGUGCUACUCGUAUCGCAAAUUGACUGCAGUCGCUGCAAAUUUCAAUUUUCAACGCCAUAAUUGGUCAUCUAAUUAUAGUUGCAUUCUAGCACAACAGGGCCUGCCUGGGUAUUAAAAGUAAUCGCCUCUUAUAAAUAAUAUACCCAACAAGGACUCCGCCCAGCACUAUUGAAAUGCUAAUCAUAGUAAUGUCCUUUGGGUGUUUUACACAUAUACGUAUUAUAUUUUCGUUCGUUUUCUUAAUUUCUAGAAACUCGUGCAAGUAUUGACCAAAAAAAAAAAAAAAAAAAAAACGAAAUAAAGAUGUGUGGGAAUGUGUGUGAGAAAGUGGCAAGUGUGAAAACUGAGGGGUCACCCAACUACGUCACGCAUGUCCUUGCACGAAAAUGUG